GAUGAACGCUGGCGGCGUGCCUAAUACAUGCAAGUCGAGCGAACAGACGAGGAGCUUGCUCCUCUGACGUUAGCGGCGGAUGGGUGAGUAACACGUGGAUAACCUACCUAUAAGACUGGGAUAACUUCGGGAAACCGGAGCUAAUACCGGAUAAUAUAUUGAACCGCAUGGUUCAAUAGUGAAAGACGGUUUUGCUGUCACUUAUAGACGGAUCCGCGCCGCAUUAGCUAGUUGGUAAGGUAACGGCUUACCAAGGCAACGAUGCGUAGCCGACCUGAGAGGGUGAUCGGCCACACUAGAACUGAGACACGGUCCAGACUCCUACGGGAGGCAGCAGUAGGGAAUCGUCCGCAAUGGGCGAAAGCUUGACGCAGCAACGCCGCGUGAGUGAUGAAGGUCUUCGGAUCGUAAAGCUCUGUUAUUAGGGAAGAACAAAUGUGUAAGUAACUAUGCACGUCUUGACGGUACCUAAUCAGAAAGCCACGGCUAACUACGUG
rnacentral:rRNA from 1 species